UACGUAGGUGGCAAGCGUUGUCCGGAAUUAUUGGGCGUAAAGAGCGUGUAGGCGGCCAGGUAGGUCUGCUGUGAAAACUCGAGGCUCAACCUCGAGACGUCGGCGGAAACCAUCUGGCUAGAGUCCGGAAGAGGAGAGUGGAAUUCCUGGUGUAGCGGUGAAAUGCGCAGAUAUCAGGAAGAACACCCGUGGCGAAGGCGGCUCUCUGGGACGGUACUGACGGCUGAGACGCGAAAGCGUGGGGAGCGAACAGG
rnacentral:rRNA from 1 species